AGUAGUUUGAUCAUGGCUCAGGACGAACGCUGGCGGCACGCUUAACACAUGCAAGUCGAACGGAGAUAUUUUGGUUUACUGAGAUAUCUUAGUGGCGGACGGGUGAGUAACACGUGAGCAACCUGCCUUUGAGAGAGGGAUAGCUUCUGGAAACGGAUGGUAAUACCUCAUGACAUACUUUUAUCGCAUGGUAGAAGUAUCAAAGAUUUAUCACUCAGAGAUGGGCUCGCGUCUGAUUAGCUAGUUGGUGAGGUAACGGCUCACCAAGGCGACGAUCAGUAGCCGGACUGAGAGGUUGAACGGCCACAUUGGGACUGAGACACGGCCCAGACUCC
rnacentral:rRNA from 1 species